CCCAGACUCCUACGGGAGGCAGCAGUGGGGAAUAUUGCACAAUGGGGGAAACCCUGAUGCAGCGACGCCGCGUGAGUGAAGAAGUAUUUCGGUAUGUAAAGCUCUCUCAGCAGGGAAGAAAAAAGACGGUACCUGACUAAGAAGCCCCGGCUAACUACGUGCCAGCAGCCGCGGUAAUACGUAGGGGGCAAGCGUUAUCCGGAUUUACUGGGUGUAAAGGGAGCGUAGACGGCAAUACAAGUCGGAAGUGAAAUACCCGGGCUUAACCUGGGAACUGCUUUGGAAACUGUAUGGCUGGAGUGCUGGAGAGGUAAGCGGAAUUCCUAGUGUAGCGGUGAAAUGCGUAGAUAUUAGGAGGAACACCAGUGGCGAAGGCGGCUUACUGGACAGUAACUGACGUUGAGGCUCGAAAGCGUGGGGAGCAAACAGGAUUAGAUACCCCAGUA
rnacentral:rRNA from 1 species